AUGUUGGCUAAUAGUCCCAACAUAAGCAGGGAGUGGAUGAAUUUGCAAGAGCACCUUGGGUCAGGGUUACCGUCUGAGAUUGAUAUCAUGAGAGUCAUCUCCUUGAGCUACGACAGGCUACCAUAUCAUGUCAAGUCCUGCUUAUUGUACAUGAGUCUCUUCCCCAAGAACUAUCAGAUCAGGCGUGCCCGCUUACUGCGGCGGUGGAUGGCAGAAGGCUACAUAAAAAUUCUAUAUGGCCUGACCGUCGAUGAAGUUGCAUGUAGUCUGUACGAUGAGCUCAUCAAGCGGAACAUGAUCCAGCCUUCGGACACGGCCAUCGCUAGCAUGUCAAGUGAACGUUGUUGUGUUCAUGGCCUAGUACUCCACAUAAUCUUGUCCAAGUAUAUUGAUGAGAAUCAGCACUUCAUCAUGGACAAGCAUUGCAAAAGGUCUCCGCCAAGUAAUACACGCCAUUUGGUAGUGAAAACAUGGAAGAGGCACGAGAAGAUAAUGACAGGUGUAAACUUACGUAUUAUACGGUCCUUGACCUUCUUUGGAGAGUAUCCUAUGUCCCUCGUCACCCCUAAACUGCGGAUGUUGAGGGUUCUUGACUUGGAGGACACAAUUGGUUUGGAGAAUAAUGAUCUCAGGUAUAUUGGACAAUUACCCCAUUUAAGGUACCUUGGUCUGCGAGGAACACAUAUUUCAAGAUUUCCAUCUCUGCGGAAGCUUAGUUGUCUGGAGACACUAGAUGUUAGAGACACAAAGGUGACACACUUGCCAGCUGGUGUCAUCGAUAAGGAGAAGCUGUGUUACCUUCGUGGUGGCGUCAGCUUUGCCCAAGACCUAGCAGAGAAGAUACGAGAAAAGAAGAACGCAUGCAGAUGUAAGAAGAACAUCUUGGAGACCCUGGCAGACAUGCUCUGCGUGCGUGGUGGUGGCUGCGACGAACGGUGUGAAUCUCCGUGUUCGUGUUAUGCAGGCCAGUUCAGUGUAAGAGCUGCGACGAACGGUGUGAAUCUCCGUGUUCGUGUUAAGGCUGGUGCAUAUUGCACAAGACAGCGAAGCGGCAAAGAAGCUGAGGACGUUGACCAACCUGCAUCGGCUGGCGUUGGAUUUUGA
rnacentral:rRNA from 1 species